rnacentral:rRNA from 1 species
UACGUAGGGUGCAAGCGUUAAUCGGAAUUACUGGGCGUAAAGCGUGCGCAGGCGGUUUUGUAAGUCUGAUGUGAAAUCCCCGGGCUCAACCUGGGAAUUGCGUUGGAGACUGCAAGGCUAGAAUCUGGCAGAGGGGGGUAGAAUUCCUCGUGUAGCAGUGAAAUGCGUAGAGAUGUGGAGGAACACCGAUGGCGAAGGCAGCCCCCUGGGUCAAGAUUGACGCUCAUGCACGAAAGCGUGGGGAGCAAACAGG